GCCGAAGUGGCGGAAUGGUAGACGCGCAUGGUUCAGGACCAUGUCCCGAUUUUCGGGGUGGAGGUUCAAGUCCUCUCUUCGGCACAA
rnacentral:tRNA from 1 species